UACAGAGGUGGCGAGCGUUGUUCGGAUUUACUGGGCGUAAAGGGUGCGUAGGUGGUUUUGCAUGUCGGACGUGAAAGCCCACUGCUUAACGGUGGAACUGCGUUCGAAACUGCAAAACUCGAGUUCAGGAGAGGAGAGCGGAAUUCUUGGUGUAGCGGUGGAAUGCGUUGAUAUCAAGAAGAACACCGGUGGCGUAGGCGGCUCUCUGGAAUGAAACUGACACUGAGGCACGAAAGCGUGGGGAGCAAAC
rnacentral:rRNA from 1 species